rnacentral:rRNA from 1 species
GACGAACGCUGGCGGCGUGCUUAACACAUGCAAGUCGAACGGUGAAGCGCCUUCCUUUUUGGUGGGUGUGGAUGAGUGGCGAACGGGUGAGUAACACGUGAGUAACCUGCCCCCUUCUUCUGGAUAACCGCAUGAAAGUGUGGCUAAUACGGGAUAUUCUGGGUCUGUCGCAUGAUGGGUCUGGGAAAGAUAUUGUUUCGGUGGGGGAUGGGCUCGCGGCCUAUCAGCUUGUUGGUGGGGUGAUGGCCUACCAAGGCGGUGACGGGUAGCCGGCCUGAGAGGGUGAGCGGUCACACAGGGACUGAGACACGGCCAAGACUCCUACGGGAGGCAGCAGUGGGGAAUAUUGCACAAUGGGCGAAAGCCUGAUGCAGCGACGCCGCGGGAGGGAUGGAGGCCUUCGGGUUGUGAACCUCUUUCGCCAGUGAAGCAGGCCUGCCUCGUUUGUGGGUGGGUUGACGGUAGCUGGAUAAGAAGCGCCGGCUAACUACGUG